rnacentral:pre_miRNA from 13 species
CAGCGGGUGGCUGGUAGGCAGUGUCAUGUUAGCUGGUUGAUUCUGUUCUCGCCAGUUUACCUGCUACUGCUCUCCAACCACCAGCAAA